UCCUGUUGUGUGUGUUCAGGCUGGUGGCGGAGUGGCGUCUGUCUCGUGGUGUUGAGGAACAGACUCAAGCCUUUUUUGAAGGAUUUAAUGAGAUUCUUCCGCAGCAGUACCUGCAGUAUUUCGAUGCCAAAGAGCUGGAGGUGAUGUUGUGUGGGAUGCAAGAAAUAGAUCUAAAUGACUGGCAGAGAAACAGCAUUUACAGACAUUACACCUCCACCAGUAAACAGAUCCUGUGGUUCUGGCAGUUUAUUAAAGAGAUGGACAAUGAGAAGCGCAUGAGACUGUUGCAGUUCGUCACUGGUACCUGCCGUCUGCCUGUCGGAGGCUUUGCAGACCUGAUGG